AGCCGAAACAUCGGAUAAUAUUCUGAUGUCAUCUCAUAGUGAUGUGUGGGGUCUGACGAAGCAGUCAGUA
rnacentral:hammerhead_ribozyme from 1 species